rnacentral:lncRNA from 1 species
CCACCUCCCCUCCGCCAUCGUCUUCUUUAAAAGAAAAAUUGUGGGCCACAUUCGUCCCACAAAACGUUAAGAACGUAGAUCCCACAUCGUAGUAGAGCAUCGUAUCAUUGUGAUUUCACUCUUUCGGACAUAAAUUUUCACACAAAAUACUGCAUCGAGGUAUUUUAAUUUAUUUUAUAGUUGAUUGAAUGUGUUUCCAUGUUGUUUUGCAUUUUAUUUGCGAAACUAGUAUGUUAUAUUUAUCUGGACUUAAAUAUUAAUGUUCUAAAAAAAUUAAAAAUUGAGAAAUAACUUUUUUUUGUUAAUAUAAGGAUUUAGAUAUUACUAUUUUCAUGUCGGUUUGUGUUUUAUUUUUACGAAACUAGUAUGUUAUAUGUAUUAUGUGAAUGUUAAGUGAUUAAAAUGUCUUUAUUGUUUAUAUUUAGUUUUGUGUAUCUAUUAGCGUAGUAAAAUGUAGAACCUUUUAGCAUAGUAAAUUGUAGAGUAUUUUAGCGUAGAAUCCCUGUUGUUUAAGUAUUUCUUAUAUUGGUAGAUGAAAAUAUAUACUUUGUACAAUUAAAUAAUUAAAAAAAAAGAAUUUAAAUUAUAAAACAAACACACACAAAAUUAUUAAAAUAUUAAAUUUGACACAUAUAAAUAUUCAUGAUAGUUUGGUGCUAUUGGGCCUCAAAUAUCCAGCAUGUAACCCAAUAGGUAUAUAUACUUUGUACAAUUAAAUAAUUAAAAAUUAAGAAUUUAAAUUAUAAAACAAACACACACAAAAUUAUAAAAUAUUGAAUUUGACACACAUAAUUAUUCAUGAUAGUUUGGUGCUACUGCGCCUCAAAAAUCGAGCAUGGAACCUAAUAGGUAUAUAUAUACUCUGCGCCUCAAUAUCGAGCCUAGAACCCAGUAUGAAUCUAUACUUUGUACAAUUAAAUAAAUAAACAUGCAAUUAAUGUUGUUUAAUUUACAGUUGACGACAUGGACGAGUCACCUAUACAUCUCGGCCCUUACUCUAGCGAGAUAUUAGUGCUACAAGGCGAUCACAGGUCCGCCCAUAUAUGGGACGGGGAGUUAGUGUCCCAGACUCUCUGCGCUAGGAGAGUGGAUGACCUGUGGGAUUUUUUGAGGCCCAGAGAUCUCCACGAACGUGUAGUCCAGCGCCUACAAGAUACGGGAUUUUAUAGGAUUAUUGAGAUCGGGAUGGAUGCAGCUCGGCUAGGCUUUGGUGACGGCGUUGAUUGAGCGGCGGUGACCAGAGACGCAUACCUAUCACCUGCCCAUUAGCGAGGCCACCAACACGUUGUAGGACGUGGAGGUUUUAUAUGUCCUGCCCGUUGAUGGCAUGGCCGUUUCACUACCUAUUGCUAUGAGAUCUAUGUCAGGCAAUCAUUAUUUGGACAUGUUGUAGCAGCUCACGGGUUUCAGGCCACAGGACGAGAUAUUUUGUCGGGUGCCAGUCGGUUGUCUUUGACCCGUAUUAGAUAGUACCUGGAGAUACUCCAGCCCAUUAUUACCGAUGAUACAUAGGAGGUACAUAUUACCCGAUAUACGUGGUUGUUGUUGCUUCUUCUAUUUGGAGGGGUUGUGUCCCCGAACACUUCGGCGAACAUACUCACCUGUAAUUCAUAUUCAGUUGCCAGAUGAGUUACCCUAUUACAUGUAGGGUGCUGCUGUUCUCGCCUACAUAUACAAGAAUAUAUGCUAGGCGCUUUAUCGGGCACCUGCAACAAACAACCUUGUAUACAACCGGACUUGACUCCCAUACCGUCAUCCCACGUUACUAUUUACGUCAUGCAUUUUACAAGCCCUGCUUACGCGCGCUUUAUGUUGAAAAAACAUGCCCUUUGCCAGCACCGUUGAUCUAGACUCAUCCCACAUUGUUGUCCGAAAUUCAUCAAAAUUCCUUGUAAGAGCUUUCACAUCCGACAUGUUUGGCAAUUUAUCAAGGUAAGGAAUCUCCCUUGAAUGAAACAACACUUGAGACUCGUACACACUUCGUCUUGGGGAUGGAUCAUUCUCUCUGGUCGAAUCAGAUCCUUCCUUCUCAUCCUUCUCAUCACCAUCCUCACGAGGAAAGGGUGUCUCGUCUCCAGAUUCAUCAGCAUUGUUGUCGUAAUCACUAUUCUCUUCCUCACUCUCUGCAUCUGCCAGAUUCCAAUUAUAUACGUCGUCUUCGAGCAACUGAGUGAGUACAUUUGCUUCAACUUGCUCGUUUUCACUGCAUAAUCAACAAAUUAUUAGGAUGCUGAAUUUAAAAAAUACUUUCCAUAUAGCCGUAUCACUUCACUUACAAGUCGUAAUGUGAUGAAAUUCCAUGAUGGAUAUUCGCCAGAUCCUGAUUUAAUACGUCGUCUUCAGGCAAUUAAGUGAGUACAUGUGGUUCAACUUGCUCGUUUUUUCUGCACAAUCAACAAAAUAAUAAGCUACUGAAAUUAAUAAAUACUUUUCAUAUUGCUGUAUCACUUCACUUACAAGUCGUAAUGUGAUUAAAUUUCAUGAUGGACAUUUUCAUUUAGGUGAUGACAAUCAGAUGGACCGCCAUGAUCACACACACCAAAACUAUACUUAGGCUCAUAAUUUAUAAAAUUCAUAUCCGGUUAGUACCCUCUAUUAAAUGUAUAAGCGUUAAUACAAAUUCAAUAUAACAAAAAUAUACAUCGUAACACAAAGGAAAAAUUAAAGUUUACCGCUCGUCUUGUGAAUUGUGAAAAGCAGGAGGUGAUAAGUUUAAAUCAAGGAAAACUCUUUCAUUCAAAAAAUGUCCGAAAAAAAUCCGAUGACUGGAGGUUAUCUGAAACCUGUCCGGCAACCUCUUUGUUGGGAACGUCUUCGACCUUGAUGUACAUAUCUAACAUUUUGAAUACAAGAAAUUCCCGGUAAUCCGGAGUUCUCAGAAAAUUCCUCAAAGUUUUAUCAUCGUAUAUGUUUAACUCUGAGUAAAAAACGGCUCUUUGUGGAGUGACGGAAUACAGAUAUCUUCCGGUUACUGUAAGCAUCACUCGAUAUUUUCUCACACCUAUUUUUUUGCAUAACGAUAUUAAUUUAUCAUACUCUGUUGUAAAUAGUAAUUCAACAUGAACCAGUGGAGAUAAAAUAUACCUCACUAAGUUAUUCUCCAUCACAACCUCACCCCUCCAAUAUAAUGAAACUCUUAUUCUACAUUACUUCAAACAUUAUGAAAAAAUGCUUGAGAAUUUAACAAGAAGAAAAGAUUGAAUGGGAAUUAGAAUUUUUUGUGAAUGGAUUUUCCUAAAAUCCUAACUCUUUUAUAUAGGAAAUGUGCGAGCCCGGGGUUUGAGACAUUCACUUAUUGGUAGGCCCAUAAUAAGGGGUAUAACGCGCUGUAUUUGUACGCUAUAUAUAGCAUAAAAUUACAGCACGAUUUACCUGUGUCAGUCAAAUGUCAGUAUGUAUAACGCCAAAACACAUCAUGUUAUAUCUUAAUGGCAAAAGUUAACGUUAAGGUAUAGUGUGGUGUGUUUUUGCGUUAUAUAUAAAGGAAAAUUUUUUACACCUAUUUACGUAACUUUUUACAAAAAG